GCGACAUCGAAUGCUUGUAUCACACAUAUAUGUUAGUUAUGGAGGUCUACUUACAUAUAUUAACUUGUUUUCAUGGUUCAAAACCUUCUAAUCGCUGCAAACGAGCCGAUCAAAAUAUCUCCUCACUGACGCUCUCGUCAGCCGCGCUGUUUCAGACCAAAACCACCCCCCCAGAACGUGGACUGUGUUGUGAUUGGCCAGCCAACGAGAGCUUUCCCACUUUCCUGUGAUUGGCCAGGUACCUGGAAGUGACGUGUUUAGAACGUCAGCUCUCAGAUACGCAGCUCUUUUUUUUUUUUUUUUUUUUUUUAAACAACUUUAUUGAAAUACGGUUACAUUACAAAAGUGAAGAAAGAAACAUAUUACAUUAGUGAACAAACAGAGCAAAAACAGGAGAAAUAAAACUUUGCCAGGGUAGCUGAUGAGUUAUUAAAAAGAGAAAGAAAAGGAAGACCAAACAUUGACAGUCUUAAUUGCUUUUUUGUUAUUAGAGCCAGAAAUCAAAUAAAUCAGAUACGCAGCUCUCCCUCUGGCACGAUUGAUGCUCUGCUCGUCAUUAUCAAGACAUUGUUAAAUGGCUGUGUCACGACCCCGCGCCGUAAUCCCUUACACAUUUGACCCGGAGUCUGACCCAGAGACAGAAGAUACUGUCGCAAGUGAAACACCUCCACAACAAAGACUGCUGCAGGACGCCUCAGAAUGGUAAUGUUUUCUCUGUGUAUAUUCCCAAUACUGUAUGUGGUUAAUUGUAGGGAGACACUGGUUGAGGCUUGAUAACCCGCCCCUCCCCCCACCAUUUUUUCUAAGUAUAAGCUACAGCAAUACCUGUACAUGUCUUUUUGUUUUCUAUUUAGAUUUUAUCACUUGCUGUUUGGUGAAACGCUCAUUUUAACAUUUUGUGUAGAUAUCUGGUGGGACUGUGAUGAAAGUAGUUUUGUUCCCCUGUACGUAAUAUGAGUAACUGAUGAAUAGAACUCUUGAAUCUAUGAAAUGUGUUACUGUACUUUUCAUACACAAUACUGUAUCUCUGGACGAUGCCCACAGAAGGGGAGAACGUCUGCUGUAGAGAAACACUUAAGGUUAUCCGAAGAAUGAAUGAACUUCCGGACACACCAACAUGCAUGAUCUACCAUCCAGGCCUGGAGCCUAACUGCUUGAACCCAUACACACUGCAGAACAUGAACAACAUCUACCGGGCAGACUAUGGGCCUUUGCGGGGAAGAACAAUACACGAGUAUUCGCUACCGGCAUUUAGCAUACCGCAGCUUUGUCAGCUGGUGCUGGGGAUAUUUGGGACGACGUGUACGAGUUGUCAUCUCGUCGUGUGUCGUGUGCCGGAUACGCCAGGAGUUUCCUGAUCUGGCUGGACAAUAUGUU